rnacentral:rRNA from 1 species
AGUGAACGCUGGCGGUAGGCCUAACACAUGCAAGUCGAACGGCAGCACAGGAGAGCUUGCUCUCUAGGUGGCGAGUGGCGGACGGGUGAGGAAUACAUCGGAAUCUGCCCAGUCGUGGGGGAUAACGUAGGGAAACUUACGCUAAUACCGCAUACGACCUUCGGGUGAAAGAGGGGGAUCGCAAGACCUCUCGCGAUUGGAUGAGCCGAUGUCGGAUUAGCUAGUUAGCGGGGUAAUGGCCCACCAAGGCGACGAUCCGUAGCUGGUCUGAGAGGAUGAUCAGCCACACUGGAACUGAGACACGGUCCAGACUCCUACGGGAGGCAGCAGUGGGGAAUAUUGGACAAUGGGCGCAAGCCUGAUCCAGCCAUACCGCGUGGGUGAAGAAGGCCUUCGGGUUGUAAAGCCCUUUUGUUGGGAAAGAAAUCUUUCAGGCUAAUACCCUGGGAGGAUGACGGUACCCAAAGAAUAAGCACCGGGUAACUUCGUG